UGGGGAAUUUUGGACAAUGGGGGAAACCCGUGAUCCAGCCAUCCCGCCGUGUGCGAUGAAGGCCUUCGGGUUGUAAAGCACUUUUGGCAGGAAAGAAACGUCGCGGGUUAAUACCCCGCGAAACUGACGGUACCUGCAGAAUAAGCACCGGCUAACUACGUGCCAGCAGCCGCGGUAAUACGUAGGGUGCAAGCGUUAAUCGGAAUUACUGGGCGUAAAGCGUGCGCAGGCGGUUCGGAAAGAAAGAUGUGAAAUCCCAGAGCUUAACUUUGGAACUGCAUUUUUAACUACCGGGCUAGAGUGUGUCAGAGGGAGGUGGAAUUCCGCGUGUAGCAGUGAAAUGCGUAGAUAUGCGGAGGAACACCGAUGGCGAAGGCAGCCUCCUGGGAUAACACUGACGCUCAUGCACGAAAGCGUGGGGAGCAAACAGGAUUAGAUACCCUGGUAGUCCACGCCCUAAACGAUGUCAACUAGCUGUUGGGGCCUUCGGGCCUUGGUAGCGCAGCUAACGCGUGAAGUUGACCGCCUGGGGGAGUACGGUCGCAAGAUUAAAACUCAAAGGAAUGACGGGGUCAUAGCUGUUUUCCU
rnacentral:rRNA from 1 species